UCUGCGCUGCGGCUGGAGGUACGGCUGGUCCUCUGCCUGCUGUCCACUGCCACCUUGGCCUGCUCUUGCCACCCUGGCGCCGCGAACUCUGUGCCGCCUCUCCCUUCACCCUGUCUUGGGACGGCCGGCGCUAAGAAUUCAUGCUAUGACCUUCGAUACAGCCAGGAGGUGACACCAAACUCGAUCAGAAACCAUGCCACUGGUGAAGAGGUAUAUUGAGCCCUGCCUGGCCCAAUGAGGUUACUAGAGAAUUGGAAGAGACUCAAAUCAGCAUCCUGCACAUGGUUAUCAAACCAUUGUGAAGUCUUAAUUCCUGGGCAGCCUGAAACCUUGUCAUUGGUCAAGAGCAACACUAAGACCUACCUGUCACUUAUCCUGAGGCUUCCUGCCCAGUGGGUUCACCAGCAAGCCAGAAUGAAGCAUCAUUGCCCAGGAUGUCCUUGUGAAGCCAUUAGGAAGUCUUGGCUGAAUUUUGAAGGAUAUCUUUGAAAAGUGUUUUAGAGAGUCUACCAGAUUUUCCAUGUGAGUGCACGUGCAGCAGAAGAGGGGGUCUUCUCAGUGAUUAAGCUACUGUUCUCCAAUUCAUCAUUAACUUGAAUAUAAGAAUUACUUUGGGGACUUCCCUGGUGGCGCAGUGGUUAAGAAUCUGCCUGCCAAUGCAGGGGACAUGGGUUCAAGGCCUAGUCCGGGAAGAUCCCACAUACUGCGGAGCAGCUAAGCCCGUGCGCCACAACUACUGAGCCUGCGCUCUAGAGCCCGCGAGCCCCAACUACUGAGUCUGUGUGUUACAACUACUGAAGCCGCGUGCCUAGAGCCCGUGUGCCACAGCAAGAGAAGCCACCGCAAUGAGAAGCCCGCGCACCGCAACGAAGAGAGUAGCCCCCGCUCAACGCAACUAGAGAAAGCCCGCACGCAGCAACGAAGACCCAAUGCAGCCAAAAAAAAUAAUAAAUUAAUUAAAAAAUAAAAAAAUUACUUUGUAAAAUUCUACUUCAUCUAAAAAAAUUCAUUUAGGGAUAUUUAUCAUGGUAGCAUUUGAUUUAUAAAUUCAUUUGGUCAGAAUUAACGUGCUUGUAACAUUUCUCCUCCUCUAGAGACAUUUAGUCAAGUCUUUUUAUGUCCUAAUAAUCAUAAUUUUCAUCAUGUAGAUCCCCCCAGUAUUUCUUAUGU